rnacentral:sRNA from 1 species
GUGGGUGGUCCAACUGCAGCAUCUUGCCACCCCAUUGAUCACCAGAGUGGAUUUUAGUGAUGUGGCUAGUUCGGCAGGUGUCUUCUUCCUCCCUC